rnacentral:rRNA from 1 species
UGGUAAUGCCGGAUGCUCCGGUUGGAUGCAUGUCCUUCCGGGAAAGGUUCCAUCGGUAUGGGAUGGGGUCGCGUCCUAUCAGCUUGAUGGCGGGGUAACGGCCCACCAUGGCUUCGACGGGUAGCCGGCCUGAGAGGGCGACCGGCCACAUUGGGACUGAGAUACGGCCCAGACUCCUACGGGAGGCAGCAGUGGGGAAUAUUGCACAAUGGGCGCAAGCCUGAUGCAGCGACGCCGCGUGCGGGAUGGAGGCCUUCGGGUUGUAAACCGCUUUUGAUCGGGAGCAAGCCCUUCGGGGUGAGUGUACCUUUCGAAUAAGCACCGGCUAACUACGUGCCAGCAGCCGCGGUAAUACGUAGGGUGCAAGCGUUAUCCGGAAUUAUUGGGCGUAAAGGGCUCGUAGGCGGUUCGUCGCGUCCGGUGUGAAAGCCCAUCGCUUAACGGUGGGUCUGCGCCGGGUACGGGCGGGCUGGAGUGCGGUAGGGGAGACUGGAAUUCCCGGUGUAACGGUGGAAUGUGUAGAUAUCGGAAAAAAACACCA